UGUACCAUUAUAUACUCUCUAGAAUACGUGCUUCCCGGAAAUGUUUUUUUUUUUUUUAAUAUAUAUCUCUCAUAGUUUUCUUGUAUAACGUUGUUAAAUAUGGUGUUAUAAAUUGUCAAGUCGGCUUAUUUGCAUGAAAAUGAUCAUGAUGCACAGUGCUGUGUACAUGCAUAUGCAUUAUUCAGCAAAUGAUUGAAAGAUAUGUGUGCAGGGAAAUCAAAAUAAAUAAAUGUGUUAAUAAUUUUGUCUAUUGCAAUAUGCUGCGUUAAAAUUACAAAUAACAAUAUGGUUAACAUGUUAUAUCGAGGGUAGAUAAACAUGGCUGACGCACUAAAAAGCAAUUAUAAUCUCAAUUAUAAUAAUUAAAAUAUUUGUUUAUUCAGAAUGUAUAAUUAGAAAGGAUUAAUCUGUAAUCAGUUUUUAAACUCAAUAAAUUAUUCAAAUUAUCCUUCUGGGUGCUCUUAAUUGAUACACAUGGACCAUACAUGUAUGUGCACAGUAACGAACUGAAUCGACACCGCUUCCUGUAAAAACAUUGUCGACUCGAAUUUACUCGGGAGUUUUUGACAACAACAUUUGCAGCGAUCAUCAGUAUUCUAGCUACAAUCCACAUGAAAAGUGUGGUUUGGACAGCAGCGAGCUCCAGCAGGGAUGAUGACCUCUUUAGUGAUGAAGAUGUGAUGUCUUACACCUACUGGGACGACAACCAGCUUUGGGCCUUGGCGCUUGCACAUGCAGCAUGAAGCAUGUCCUCUAGAUGUGCUGGGAAAUGGGAGAGGAAUGCAUGGAGGACUCGGAAUGGAGGAGCUUCAGUGGAUUGUGCUGGAACCUGCUGUACCCUGCUGGGGAUACUGGUUUUCUUUUUGAUGUGAUGCUGGCACAUACAUCUGCAUUUGUUACAGAGAAAGUCACUGUGUGAUGGAGUCCUUCCUGUUAAUUUGGCAAUAAAAGCUCUAUUUCUAGACAAUAUAAUGUGCCUAUCCUUCUGUCUUACUCUUUUAGGACAGUUGAAACAGCCAUAGUGUUUUUGACCAGAACCUGGCAUUUCUGAAAUAUUUAUUUUAAUAAAAUACAU